GUGCAUAUCAGAGUUGGACAAAAUCGCAAGUUCAUUAAUAACUUAAAGAAAUAAUCUGUUUUAGUGCGGUUAAAAGUGAAAAUUUGUGCAAAUAAUUGGUGUGAAUGUAUGGAUAUAUUAGAAUAUUCAAUGUGCAAAAAUUUUGAAUUGAAAGAGAGGUUUGUUAAAAUUUGAAAAGCAACUUGUUUUAAAUUCCGUAUAAAAUAGUGAAAAUAAAGUGUUAAGUGGUGUAAAAGUGAUUGGAAAAAUAUUAAAUUGUGGAAUAAUAUUGAAAGUUGCAUCACCAUUUUGUUUAUGUGCGUGUUAAGAAAUGAGUUGUGAUGUGGAAAUAAUAAUAACGCAAGGAAAUCAUGCUUGAAAGGAUUACCGGGAGAAUUUUUUUGGCUAUAAGGAACAACAAAUGUAGAGAAAGUGCUAUUUUAUUGAUGUGAAGUGAAAAGUGUGAUAAAGUGAAAGUGAAGUAAGUACACAAAGUGAAAUUAAAUUGUGUGAAAAAAGUGUUUUGAUAUAUAAUUGGAGCGGAUACUUUUACAAAAUGGGGUGCCACAUGCGAGCGUGUUUGCUGAUAACCCCGCGCACAGCGAUUGCACGUCAGUCCCGUUACGCCCUCUUUGCAGGGGCACUGACCGCUCAAAUGAUUGCAAGUUUUGCCGGUAGAGCCAACAGGAUGGCAGUCGCAGCCUGAAAUUAAAGAAAAAGUAGUGAAAAGCAUGAAUAUAAAGUUCGUUAAACAUCUUCAAUAUGAAAAAAUUUCCUCAGGGUCAGCAGGAAAAUACUGAAGCAAGAGAUGACUUUUAAGGACGGAAGGAAUUUAAGGAAACUUGCAAAAAGUAACUUUAGACUGGAUGGUCGUUGGGAUGGAAUACUGAAAAUACAACUGGAAAAGAUUGUGAGGCGUACGAAACUACUGAACGGGUGCAAGAAGGAAUAUAUUAUAUUAUAUAAAGAACUAAUAUUUGCUCCAAACUUAAAAACACUUUAGUAAUAAAAUAAUAACAAUAUUAAUAAUACUUCGUUAUAAGUUAUAGUUCUUCAUAAAUUUCUUUUUAUUAUUAUUCAAGGCAAAAAUUUUAUAAGUGCGAUUGUCAUUAAUUUAUACAUAUACAUAUGAAAAAAUACAGAACUUCAUUAAAUUGUUUAGGAAAUUAUAAAUAGAUAUGUAAAAAGUAAUAAUAAUAAACGUUAAAACAAAUUAAAUAUUUUAUAAAAAGUUAAGAAACUAACUUGACCGUAUGUUAAAAAUAAUUUUAUGUAGUAUAUAGUAAAUAACUUAACCUCAGUAAAUUUUUUAUAAGA